ACGAUGAAGAACGCAGCGAAGUGCGAUAAGCAAUGCGAAUUGCAGAACCGAGAGUCAUCAGAUUUUUGAACGCAACUGGCUCCUGGGGGUCCUCCCCCAGGAAUGCUUCUUUCAGUGUGUUCUUAUCUCCUCACCCAAACCUUAAUGCGAUAGAUGCCCUUCUAUUGCUAAGCUCGAAAGCACUCUGAGCUCUGCAGCGACUGUCUUCGGAUGGUUGCACUCAAUGCAGCAGUCACAUUUUCUAAUGUGAACUCAUUGGGAGUAGAGUCAGCGCAUGUCUCAUGCCAGUGCUUAGACACUCAAAUUUUCACAGCAUCUGAGAUGAAGUAGGACUACCCGCUGAACUUAAGCAUAUCAUUAAGCGGAGGAAAAGAAACUAACAAGGAUUCCCUUAGUACGGGCGACGGAAGCGGGAAAAGCCCACACUGGUAAUCUCCGUGCGUUAGUACGGCGAAUUGUAAUCUGAAGAGUUGAUGUCAUGGCCAGGAGGAGACGCAGAAGUGUCCACGAGCGGACCGCCAAAGAGGGUGAGAGCCCCGUCUGUAGUGUUUCUUUCAGUCUGAUAUCGGCCCAAAGAGUCGCGUACCUUGAUACUGGUGCACUAAGCGGGAGAUAAACUUCUUCUAAGGCUAAAUAUAAGUAGGAAACCGAUAGCGAACAAGUACUGUGAAGGAAAGAUGAAAAGCACUUUGGAAAGAAAGUUAAAAGACCUGAAAUCGUUGAGGCGGAAGCGGUAGAAAUGAAUUCUUCGCCAUGGUAGGUGGGAAGCCUGCGGUCGCGGGUUACUUCUUGCCUGGUGUGAGACAAGAUGGAGUCGGCAGGUGCCAGAGACGCUGCGGCCGGACCUCACGGUCUAGCCGCUGUGGUCGGGUAGCCAGCCGGCUUGAGGGGCUUUGUGCGAUCUUGUCAAAAUGGUUUUUACCGACCCGUCUUGAAACACGGACCAAGGAGUCUAAGACUAGCGCGAGUGUGGUGGUGGAGAAACCAACACGCGAAAUGAAAGUAAAUGGUGCCAACUUCGGUGCAGCACCGACCGACCAUGAUCCACUGGUGAAAGGUUUGAGUAAGAGCGUUAUUCUUAGGACCCGAAAGAUGGUGAACUAUGCCUGUGUAGGGUGAAGUCAGGGGAAACUCUGAUGGAGGCUCGUAGCGAUACUGACGUGCAAAUCGUUCGUCGAACAUGGGUAUAGGGGCGAAAGACUAAUCGAACCAUCUAGUAGCUGGUUCCCGCCGAAGUUUCCCUCAGGAUAGCUGGGACAACCACGCAGUUUUAUUAGGUAAAGCGAAUGAUUAGAGGCAUCGGGGACGGAAUGUCCUUGACCUAUUCUCAAACUUUAAAUUGGUAAGAACUCCUGUCUUUCUUCAGUGAAGCGGGAGGUUCAAUGCGUGUCCUUAGUGGGCCAUUUUUGGUAAGCAGAACUGGCGAUGAGGGAUGCUCCUAACGUCGGGUUAAGGUGCCAAACUACACGCUCAUCAGAAACUACAAAGGGUGUUAGUUCAUCCAGACAGCAGGACGGUGGCCAUGGAAGUCGGAAUCCGCUAAGGAGUGUGUUACAACUCACCUGCCGAAUGAACUAGUCCCGAAAAUGGAUGGCGCUAAAGCGUGUGACCGAUACCCGACCAUUGGUGCGAGAGUGAGGCAUCAAUGAGUAGGCGGGCGUGAGCGUCGUAGCGAAGCCUCUGGCGUGAGCCUGGGUUGAACGGCGUUUAGUGCAGAUCUUGGUGGUAGUA
rnacentral:rRNA from 1 species